rnacentral:rRNA from 1 species
AACGAACGCUGGCGGCAGGCCUAACACAUGCAAGUCGAACGAAGUCUUCGGACUUAGUGGCGCACGGGUGAGUAACACGUGGGAAUAUACCUUACGCUGGGGGAUAACAUCGGGAAACUGAUGCUAAUACCGCAUACGCCCUUCGGGGGAAAGAUUUAUCGGCGAAAGAUUAGCCCGCGUCCGAUUAGCUAGUUGGUGAGGUAAUGGCACACCAAGGCUCCGAUCGGUAGCUGGUCGGAGAGGAGGACCAGCCACACUGGGACUGAGACACGGCCCAGACUCCUACGCGAGGGAGCAGAGGGGAAUAUUGGACAAGGGGCGCAAGUCUGAUCCAGCCAUGCCGCGUGAGUGAUGAAGGCCGUAGGGUUGUAAAGCUCUUUCACCCACGACGAUGAUGACGGUAGUGGGAGAAGAAGCCCCGGCUAACUUCGUG